GAGAGGAGAGCAGAAAUAAGGCCACAGGAGAAAUUCUGGCUGUGAACCCAUGCAGUCAUUGGAAGCACUGGAACAAGUGAGGCUGAAACAAUCAGGUGGAAUAACGUGGAUGAUCAUCAUACGGCAUGGAAACGUUGGGAAGGCACUGGGUGGUAGGUGGGUCCUAGACAGCAUUCCAGCAAAGACCUCACCCUUGGAUUUUCAUGGAGCUGAUGAUCCACCAAAAAGGUAACAACGUGCUGGAAACAAUAGAAGUUAUCUGCAAGUAUCUUCAGGAAGGCCUGAGGCUUUCAGAUGCAAAUACAGAAAUAUAUUUAACAUCUUGACUUCUAUUCUUUUGUCAUAAUACAAAGUGGAAAGACAAUGUUUAGUAAAUGUUUACAUCUUACAAAGGGGAGUUUUGCAGAUUGCAUUGUAGCUCUUUGGGAGGAACCAGGAAAGAGCGCAGGAUGUUAACAACAUAAAAAAGAAUGGCAAUAAAACCCACCCCUAAUAUUAAUUGUCUAAGAGGAAAUGCAUCUAUCUCUCAUCAGGACAUGGCAGACUCUGCUUUGCAUUGCUGGAAGCCUGAGAACAGUAAUCGUUUUUUGGCAUGGAGAAGCAAGUUCUUACAUACUUGAAACAUAACUCAUUUACAGUUGUUUUGAUGGAUGCUUAAAGCAGCAUGGAGAACCCCCAGGUCCCUUGGGCUGGUGAGCAGCAGAGCUCAGAUGUAGAUCUGGCUCAGCUUCCUGACGUGGGAACUGGAGGGGACUGCUCUGAUUAAACACCUCCAUUCUGUUUUG
rnacentral:lncRNA from 1 species